rnacentral:lncRNA from 1 species
GGUAGGCGUGGGAGGUUGGAUGGAGGAAGAAAGAGUCUCCUUCAUUUUAGGAGAUCUAUUGCAUUUAGUCCCCAUGGAUGGAUGGCUUGAUUUUCAGUGAGGACUUCCAUAACUCAGUUGUCCUCUCUAGCUGGGGAACUGGGAGGAGGUGGGCAUUUCAGAGAACACAGUAGCUGGAGUACCAGACAACAGCAUGGAACAAGCAGAAGCCCUGGCAGCUCCAUCCAGAACUUGCCGUGUUCCUGCUGCCCAUCUCGGGGUUUGCCAGGAGAAGUCUGCUGGUCCAGGGACCACCGACCUGCGUUCCCAUCGCUCAUCGAACCCGAUGAACUUUCCCAGUCUCAAGGAAUUCUGACAAAGACUUUUUCUCCAAGACUCCAAAGCGAUAAUGUAUUACCUUUAAGCAGCACAGCAAACCCCUUCCGGUCCUUCCAAGUCUUCGCGUUUUCUUCCUCCCCUUCCCCACCUUGAUCUCCCAAGGCCCCGCGUCAGCCGACCGCGUCUGCGGACCGCCCGUUACAGAAAUCAUUUCCCACCCUGCCCCCAACGGCAUCACACACCUGACCAGCUGGAAGAACCUAGAAGAAUAGAGGAAA